AGGCGGGCCUGUCCGGGGUUGAGGCGGGCCUGUCCGUCCCGAGGCGGGAUCCCGGGGACAUGGAGAGAUCGAACGGAGGCUCUCUGCGCUCUCUGGUGCAGGAGACGGAAAAGCGCGAGGC
rnacentral:SRP_RNA from 1 species